CUGAGCUCGGUAUUCGACAGCCAAUGUUUUUCCUUUACUAGUCGCUAGCAUCGAUCGCGCGAGCGAGCGAUCUGUUUACAUUUACCACCGGCUCGCCUCGUUAGACGACCUAUGAUUGAAAAAGUAAGUCGCCGUUGCGAUAUGCGCCAGCAUUUGAAACGUAACUGAUGAUCGCAUGUCGAAGAUCGUCCGCGUCGAAGGAAACGAAAAGACUCGAAACUCCUGAAAUCGAUUCGCUCGACGAAUAGAACAGAAAAAGCCAGUUUUGCAGAGUGAAACGGUUAUACCCGAAGCUGGUCAAGUAAUUUGUCGAUAGCUCGAAUACAUCAAGAAUAGAGUGGCACAGAGGACUACAUGCGACGGGAACAUCGACUGGAAUUUCAACUAUACAGGAAGAGUACAUAAUCUGGGAGGACAACAGUCGGGGAGUCUAGGCGGAGCACUGGUCGGAAACUUGAAUCACGAAUUAAAUCAUCGACUAGUUGCAAGCUGCGGUUAGGUUUUGUUGGUACACUCGUCCGUGCUCUUGCCCUCCUCCCCGUUAGCGGGUGGAAUCGACGGUUCGGUAUUCCGUCGCUUGAUCUUAUUUUUCUUCAACAUGGUUGCCUGGAGCGAACAAAGGAACAAGGAGAUACAUAUUAGUCAGAGAGUGCGAUGAGGGGAGGACUGCAUGCGUUGCCGAACACCAGCAGUUACGGGUUUACGGAAUAGCAGUUUCAUAUGGAGCAUCGCGUAAACAGCGUAAUGAUAAGUCAGAUUUAGGCGGCUAGGUACAUACAGAUGCUCCGGCAGAGAGUGAACGUGCGACAAAUAUGUAGAUGGCCCCAUCAUUCUACAUGAAAUCGAACAGCAUGAGUGAAUUAUCGACGAACAAGGUCCGAAGGUGUAUCAAUUUCAUUAAAUCACUGUUAACCCUUUGCACUUGAAGUCUGUCCUUUUGACAUCAAUCGUACAGAGUGUUUAGCGAUGCGUGACACGUUUCCACGUACAUAAAUUAGGCUGUAAGAUAGUAAACUCGGCAUUGUUACCGAACAGAUUUCUAUAAACGGUGGGCGAAGUAAAAUGUUACUAAUUGCAAUUUUACAAUGCAUAUAUUGAAAACAUCGACCUGAUGUGGCGUUUGUCAACGAAAGUUUGCAAAAUUAAUUUUAUAGUAUACAACAAAUUUUCUUGGGGCAACUGCUGCGAGGAGAAGGGAGGUGUUCAACAUUCUUUUUAAACGGGUAUAUCAAGUUUUUAUUGCCGCAGUGAUCGACGAAUUAUAGCGAAUAAAUUGUUCGAUGAGAAAUUUUACAAGGAAACUGAAAGAUAGCAAGAAAGAACUAAAAAUAAUAAUGAAUGUUAUUAACUCGCCCGAGGUUAAUAACGUGUCAACAUUCACAUCAAGAGAGAAAUUAAUCUUCUUAAAUAUAUCAUUUACCAGGAAGAUUAGCAAAUAGUGAAACGUGUGUUCAUCGUUUUCGAAAAUCUAAACAAAGAUAACAUCGUUCACGGAAGUCUAAAUGUUUGUAAACCGAGUCGAAAUUGUUUAAUAUGCACAAUAAAGGAAACAAUGAGAGAUAUUACGAUAACAAAACGUUAGUGACCCCUUACUCGUUACAUUUAAAAAUGUGUUGGCGGCUUCUCCUUUUAUUCACAGCAAUUGUCUCGAAAAAAUAUAUUGCUACUGAAAGAUUAUUACUAAGAGAUAACCUCCUCGCAACAUUUCAUUAAAAAAUAUUAUCUAAAUCUUUUUGAAUGGCACAGAUAUCGAAAUUUUGUCAAGCUCACCUGUACAUAUUUCUUGUAUCCUUUUUUUGAUUUCUUAAAUUUAAACAGUUUAGCAACAAUUUAAGCUUUUCUUUUAUCACUUUUUUUACAAUUUUAAAAUGGUUUGUAAAUUUAUUGCAGUUUGAAAAUCUGUUCGCUUUUCUGAUUGAAAUUUAAAAUAAAGAUGCCUAAACGUCCAAA